rnacentral:rRNA from 1 species
UACAGAGGGGCGAAGCGUUAUUCGGAAUUAUUGGGCGUAAAGGGCGCGUAGGCGGCCUGGCAAGUGGAUGGUGAAAUCCCUCGGCUUAACCGAGGAACUGCCAUCCAGACUGCUUGCUUGAGACCGGGAGAGGUGAGUGGAAUUCCCAGUGUAGCGGUGAAAUGCGUAGAUAUUGGGAGGAACACCAGUGGCGAAGGCGGCUCACUGGACCGUACUGACGCUGAGGCGCGAAGCGUGGGAGCAACGG